AAGGAGUCUAACAUGCUUGCGAGUAUUUGGGUGUCAAACCCGGAUGCGUAAUGAAAGUGAAUGGAGGUGGGAAGCGCAAGCUGCACCAUCGACCGAUCUGGAUUUUCCAAGAUGGAUUUGAGUAAGAGCACGUAUGUUGGGACCCGAAAGAUGGUGAACUAUGCCUGAAUAGGGCGAAGCCAGAGGAAACUCUGGUGGAGGCUCGUAGCGGUUCUGACGUGCAAAUCGAUCGUCAAAUUUGGGUAUAGGGGCGAAAGACUGAUCGAACCAUCUAGUAGCUGGUUCCUG
rnacentral:misc_RNA from 1 species